rnacentral:tRNA from 1 species
GGCCUCGUAGCUCAGCCGGUAGAGUGUAGGCUGUACAAAGGCGUGGACGGCGUCCAUGCGUGGGUUCGAAUCCCACAGAGGCCA